rnacentral:rRNA from 1 species
AUUGAACGCUGGCGGCAUGCCUUACACAUGCAAGUCGAACGGUAACAGGUCUUCGGAUGCUGACGAGUGGCGAACGGGUGAGUAAUACAUCGGAACGUGCCCGAGAGUGGGGGAUAACGAAGCGAAAGCUUUGCUAAUACCGCAUACGAUCUCAGGAUGAAAGCAGGGGGCCGCAAGGCCUUGCGCUGACGGAGCGGCCGAUGGCAGAUUAGGUAGUUGGUGGGAUAAAAGCGUACCAAGCCGACGGUCUGUAGCUGGGCUGAGAGGACGACCAGCCACACUGGGACUGAGACACGGCCCAGACUCCUACGGGAGGCAGGAGUGGGGAAUUGUGGACAAUGGGCGCAAGCCUGAUCCAGCCAUGCCGCGUGCAGGAUGAGGGCCUUCGGGUUGUAAACUGCUUUUGUACGGAACGAAAAGACUCCUUCUAAUAAAGGGGGUCCAUGACGGUACCGUAAGAAUAAGCACCGGCUAACUACGUGCCAGCCGCCGCAGUAAGAC